rnacentral:rRNA from 1 species
CCCUGCAGUUCUCACCUGGAUUCUCAUUGAAGCUUAGCAGGGUUGAGUCUGGCCAGCACCUGGAUGGGAGACCUCCUUGGGAAAACUGAGGUUGCGGGUG